ACAUGCCUACAACAUAGUUUUAAUGCACUAGAUCCCAUUAGAACUCUGCAGUUAAGUGCGCUCGGGAUAGAGUAGUACCGGGAUGGGUGAUCUCCUGGGAAGUACUAGUAUUUUACAUGUC
rnacentral:rRNA from 1 species